rnacentral:rRNA from 1 species
ACGGAAGGCAGCAGUGGGGAAUAUUGCACAAUGGGGGAAACCCUGAUGCAGCGACGCCGCGUGAGUGAAGAAGUAUUUCGGUAUGUAAAGCUCUAUCAGCAGGAAAGAUAAUGACGGUACCUGACUAAGAAGCCCCGGCUAACUACGUGCCAGCAGCCGCGGUAAUACGUAGGGGGCAAGCGUUAUCCGGAUUUACUGGGUGUAAAGGGAGCGUAGACGGUUUUGCAAGUCUGAAGUGAAAGCCCGGGGCUUAACCCCGGGACUGCUUUGGAAACUGUAGAACUAGAGUGCAGGAGAGGUAAGUGGAAUUCCUAGUGUAGCGGUGAAAUGCGUAGAUAUUAGGAGGAACACCGGUGGCGAAGGCGGCUUACUGGACGGUAACUGACAUUGAGGCUCGAAAGCGUGGGGAGCAAACAGGAUUAGAUACCCUGGUA